CCCUCAGUAGUAGAAUAUUUAGCUGCACUGGGAAUAAAAAAAUGAUAUUUAAGUAAGGGGUGGAGGUGUAAGGAUGGAGGACUCUGCCUGAUCACAGUCUUGAUUCCUACACAUUAUGAGCUUGCCAAUGAUCCAUCGAACUGACAAGGGAGCCUCUGCCAUACUGAUUUUUUUUUCUUUUAAUAAGAAAGAAAAAGUUGUUCUAUAUUAUGCAAUUUUAAACCCUGCAGCAAUAAUCUGUAUCCUUCUGAAGAAGUAAGAGGAAUAAUUCUAUUCUGGCAAGUAGCAUGCAAAUAGAAUACUUUUUCUUUUAGCAUAUUAAUUCAGUAAGAAGAUUAAUAUAAGCUUGCAAACUUCUUAGGCAAAAUCUUUAUUCUUUCAACAGAAUGCAAAACAAUUACUACUUGGAUGCUGAUAGUAAGUGAACUGUUUUAUUGAAUAGUUACAAUGAAACAUAGGAGGUUGGUGUACAAAAAAUAGUUCAUGUAAAGAUUAUGAGGAAGAAUUUGUAGAGGAGGGAAAAAAGGGCAGAGGAUAUUGUUUCAAAAUGGAAGAUAAAGAAGUGUCUGCUACUAGAGAAGUGCUACCUACCAUUAGAGCCCAUUGGUAGGCAGACUUCCACUACAGUUUGGAAUCAAAUUCUGAACUUCAGUGUGACAAUGCAAAAGGACUCAAAGCCUUCUAUGAUGCAAUAAAAUAUGGACCUAAUCAUCUGAUGGUUUUCGGUGGCGUAUGUGCAACAGUUACUUCUAUCAUUGCUGAAUCUCUAAAGGGAUGGAAUUUGGUUCAGGUGUCCUGUGACUGUGCAAAGUGAUGACUGUCUUCCCUGCAAGAGAAAUGCAGAAUACUGGGAGUACUGGGGAGAAUAGGGAAGAAAAGAAGGACAACAGAACAUUUACCUUAGCAAAUCAGAUACAAGGCCGAAUGCCUGGAAAACUUUUCUAGAAGCCUUUUAGCCCUGAAUUCCAAGUUUCUGUCUAACUGUUUUUCUUCCACUUGGGAAACU